UGGGGAAUUUUGGACAAUGGGGCGAAAGCCUGAUCCAGCAAUGCCGCGUGUGUGAAGAAGGCCUUCGGGUUGUAAAGCACUUUUGUCCGGAAAGAAAUCCUCUGGGUUAAUACCUCGGGGGGAUGACGGUACCGGAAGAAUAAGCACCGGCUAACUACGUGCCAGCAGCCGCGGUAAUACGUAGGGUGCAAGCGUUAAUCGGAAUUACUGGGCGUAAAGCGUGCGCAGGCGGUUUUGUAAGACGGAUGUGAAAUCCCCGGGCUUAAACCUGGGAACUGCAUUCGUGACUGCAAGGCUAGAGUAUGGCAGAGGGGGGUAGAAUUCCACGUNUGAGCAGUGAAAUGCGUAGAGAUGGUGGAGGAAUACCGAUGGCGAAGGCAGCCCCCUGGGCAAUACUGACGCUCAUGCACGAAAGCGU
rnacentral:rRNA from 1 species